UACGUAGGGUGCAAGCGUUUGUCCGGAAUUAUUGGGCGUAAAGGGCUCGUAGGCGGUCUGUCACGUCGGGAGUGAAAACUCAGGGCUUAACCCUGAGCCUGCUUCCGAUACGGGCAGACUAGAGGUAUGCAGGGGAGAACGGAAUUCCUGGUGUAGCGGUGAAAUGCGCAGAUAUCAGGAGGAACACCGGUGGCGAAGGCGGGUCUCUGGGCCGAAACUGACGCUGAGGAGCGAAAGCGUGGGGAGCAAACAGG
rnacentral:rRNA from 1 species